rnacentral:rRNA from 1 species
UACAAGAGGCCCAAACGUUAUUCGGAUUUACUGGGCUUAAAGAGUUUGUAGGCGGCGCAGAAAGUAGGGUGUGAAAGCCCUCGGCUCAACCGAGGAAUUGCGCUCUAAACUACUGUGCUUGAGGAACCUAGAGGUGAGCAGAACUGAUGGUGGAGCGGUGAAAUGCGUUGAUAUCAUCAGGAAUACCGGAGUCGAAGGCGGCUCACUGGGGGUUAUCUGACGCUGAGGAACGAAAGCCAGGGGAGCGAACGGG